AUGGAGAGGGAGCUUGCUCUUCGAUUCAGCGGCGGACGGGUGAGUAAUGCCUAGGAAUCUGCCUAGUAGUGGGGGACAACGUUUCGAAAGGAACGCUAAUACCGCAUACGUCCUACGGGAGAAAGUGGGGGAUCUUCGGACCUCACGCUAUUAGAUGAGCCUAGGUCGGAUUAGCUAGUUGGUAGGGUAAAGGCCUACCAAGGCGACGAUCCGUAACUGGUCUGAGAGGAUGAUCAGUCACACUGGAACUGAGACACGGUCCAGACUCCUACGGGAGGCAGCAGUGGGGAAUAUUGGACAAUGGGCGAAAGCCUGAUCCAGCCAUGCCGCGUGUGUGAAGAAGGCCUUCGGGUCGUAAAGCACUUUAAGUUGGGAGGAAGGGCUCAUAGCGAAUACCUGUGAGUUUUGACGUUACCAACAGAAUAAGCACCGGCUAACUUCGUGCCAGCAGCCGCGGUAAUACGAAGGGUGCAAGCGUUAAUCGGAAUUACUGGGCGUAAAGCGCGCGUAGGUGGCUUGAUAAGUUGGAUGUGAAAUCCCCGGGCUCAACCUGGGAACUGCAUCCAAAACUGUCUGGCUAGAGUGCGGUAGAGGGUAGUGGAAUUUCCAGUGUAGCGGUGAAAUGCGUAGAUAUUGGAAGGAACACCAGUGGCGAAGGCGACUACCUGGACUGACACUGACACUGAGGUGCGAAAGCGUGGGGAGCAAACAGGAUUAGAUACCCUGGUAGUCCACGCCGUAAACGAUGUCAACUAGCCGUUGGGAUCCUUGAGAUCUUAGUGGCGCAGCUAACGCAUUAAGUUGACCGCCUGGGGAGUACGGCCGCAAGGUUAAAACUCAAAUGAAUUGACGGGGGCCCGCACAACCGGUGGAGCAUGUGCUUUAAUUCGAAGCAACGCGAAGAACCUUACCUGGCCUUGACUGUUGAAAACUUUCCAGAAAUGAAUGGUGCC
rnacentral:rRNA from 1 species